CUGUUUUUAAUCUUCCUCCUACACUCCCUUCUGAAAAUCUCAUAGAUCCAUCUCAGGUCUCACAAAUCAAAGACUAAUCAUAACCCAUCUCAAUAUCAAAACCCAUGUAUCAUAUUUCACUGAGAAAUCGCUUCGAUUUCUCCAUGUUCCGUUCUUUCUCCGAAUCUCUUUCCGGAAUCAAAGAAAUCUCACUUCUACUAACAUCCUCUCAGAAUAUUUCUGGAUUUGGGGGAGUUUCAUUCAAUUGAUACAACCCUUUAUCCCUUCGAAUUGUUAAAACCCUAGAUUUGGACCAAAUAGGUAAGUAAUGACGGAUUUGAUGGUGAUUGGAUGGGGUACUGAUUCAGGAAGCUACGGCGGUCAAGAAAGUGAAGAAGACAUUGAAAAGAAAGAGGGUUACUAUAGAUUAAGGAGUUGAAGGAAGAAUUGGAGAGCUUGUUUAGGUACUUUAAAGAGGGAUUAGUAGAAGAAAAGUUGAAAAGAUGGUUGUUAUUCUGGGAAUGCGAUGUAUGCUAGUUUGAUUGAAGAGGAUGGAUUGCCGUAUUCGAAACUAGCUGAUGAGAUUUACGAGAAACUGAAGAGUAAAGAUGGGAUUACAUUAGUUUUAUUGGUUGGGAAGAGGGUUAUUUAUGGGAUCGGUAUUGCUGAUGCUGAUGUGUUGGAGGAUAAUAGUGAUAAGUGUUUAUGGUGUUGGGAGACAAGAGAGUUCAAGCUGAUUCUGAAAAGUCUAAAAGGGGUUGUGAAUGCUCGGAGGGUAUGUCGGAAGAGAAUUCAGGAGAGAAUUGCUGUUGUUUCUGAUAUGGAGAUGGAAGAUAAUGGAUGUGAGUACUUUGAGGAGGAACCGGAGGAGCAACAUGUUUGAUAUUGAGAACCGAUACUCUAAAGGUUUGGAUGAAAUUGAUCCUCAAGGAGCGCUGGAAGGAUUUUCUAAAGUGGUGCGGAUGGAACUAGAUAAGGCAGAACGAGAUUGUGGUUUAAGACGAAUCAAGCUUUGCAAGAUUUGGUUUGACUUGGGUGAAUGUGGGUAAUGAAUAAGGUUGCAAGUCUUCUUCAUGAUGAUGUCUGGGAUGAUGCUGAUACAAAGCGCGGUGUUUGUUCCCUUAAUUUCUUAACAGGGAACAAGGUAUCUUUGCUGCACUUUCUUUUCAGCCCCCGCCAUGCGGAUACUUUUAUUGUUUAGGAAAUGAUUGGAAAUUUCGAUCCUAAAUUAUGCUUUACAUUGUUAUCCUGAAAAUGGUAAUUUAGACUUGGAAUUUUGAACUAUGACCUCUAUUAACGUUUAGAAAAAGGGAAAUUUUUUCUUAUAAUGCACAUCCCUUAUGUUGGUGUUGUUGAGUGCUUAGCUGUAUGUAGAUCUGUUGUUGUGUAAUUUGUUCUGAGACUAUGCCUGGUAUUAAUUACUUAAGUAUUGGGUUACUUUUUGACUGUGCGGGACAACAUUCAGCCUCAAAUUGAUUGUUUAAAUGAUGCAGCUGUCUGUGCUAGCAGGAGAUUUUCUUCUUUCUCGAGCUUGUGUGGCGCUUUCCUCUCUUAAAAAUACAGAGGAUAGUGUUUACCUUGUAACAAUAACAACUUCUUCUUUGCAUGAACGUACCGACUUUGGUGUAGUGUUAUAUAAGCGUGAACAUUAUUGAUUUCAGUUAGUUUUUUUGUCUUCAAAGUUUGGUAAUAAUUCAUAGCUGGUGGUGGUGGGUUUGGGAGUGCCCAUCUAUUAUGGUGGUUAUAACAAGCUUGGUUCUCUUUUAUACUUCAGAUGUGCUCAGUCGAUGAUGGCGAUGUUCAGUCGAUGAUGGCAAUGCCCAGCCAUUAUGUGCGAAUUGUAACCCCAGGUUCUGUGUUAAUUCCCAUUACCACAUUGAAUUUUCCAUUAACCUUGACUUCUACCUCUUUUCAGGCCUCAACUUAAAUUUUAGACAUAUUAACAUUAACUUUCAUAUUUUCAAAUUGAGAAACUUGGUUUAUUGAACCAUUGUUAGUAUUUAUCUUUGAAUUAAACCAAAUAAUUGUAUGGUUUAUUAUAGUUCAUCUAAUACAUUCUUCAACUUAAGGAAUUCAUAUA